rnacentral:rRNA from 1 species
ACGGGAGGCAGCAGUGAGGAAUAUUGGUCAAUGGGCGGAAGCCUGAACCAGCCAAGUCGCGUGAAGGAUGAAGGUAUUAUGUAUUGUAAACUUCUUUAGACGUAGAGAAAUAAGGGGGUCGUGACCUCUGAUGCUAGUAUACGUAGAAUAAGGAUCGGCUAACUCCGUGCCAGCAGCCGCGGUAAUACGGAGGAUCCGAGCGUUAUCCGGAUUUAUUGGGUUUAAAGGGUGCGCAGGCGGCUUUUUAAGUCAGCGGUGAAAUCUCCGGGCUCAACUCGGAAACUGCCGUUGAUACUGGCGGUCUUGAUUCAUGUCGAGGAUGGCGGAAUGCAGCGUGUAGCGGUGAAAUGCUUAGAUACGCUGCAGAACUCCGAUUGCGAAGGCAGCUGUCCAGAGAUGCAAUGACGCUCAGGCACGAAAGCAUGGGGAUCGAACAGGAUUAGAUACCCUGGUA